GGCGUGGAUUAGGCAUGCAAGUCGAACGAGAAAGUUUCCUUCGGGAGAUGAGUACAGUGGCGAACUGGUUAGUAACAGGUGGGAAAUGUACCCCUUGGCUUGGGAUAACUUCUGGAAACAGAAGCUAAUACCAGAUGAGACUCACGGACCUUUGGUUCUGUGGGUUAAAGAUGCUUCUUUUAUUAGUUGUGUCACCAAGAGAUCGUCCCGCCCCUGAUUAGCUUGACGGUGGGGUAAUGGCCUACCGUGGCGACAAUCAGUAGCUGGUCUGAGAGGAUGGUCAGCAACACUGGGACUGAGAUACGGCCCAGACUCCUACGGGAGGCAGCAGUCUAGAGGCUUCGGCAAUGGACGAAAGUCUGACCGAGCGACGCCGCGUGUGUGAUGAAGGCCUUCGGGUCGUAAAGCACUGUCAGUAGGGAAGAAGGCUUUGGAGGUGUCCCUCCAGAGUUUGACGGUACCUACAGAGGAAGCCCCGGCUAACUCCGUGCCAGCAGCCGCGGUAAUACGGAGGGGGCAAGCGUUAUUCGGAAUUAUUGGGCGUAAAGAGCGCGUAGGCGGAUGUUUAGGUCUGACGUGAAAUCGUUACCGCUUAACGGAACGACUGCGUUGGAAACCGGGCAUCUGAGGUAGGCAGAGGAGAGUGGAAUUCCCGGUGUAGUGGUGGAAUGCGUAGAUAUCGGGAGGAACACCAGUGGCGAAAGCGGCUCUCUGGACCUGACCUGACGCUCAGAUGCGAAAGCGUGGGGAGCGAACGGGAUUAGAUACCCCGGUAGUCCACGCUGUAAACGAUGGAUACUAGGUGUAGCGGGUAUUGACCCCUGCUGUGCCGAAGUUAACGCGCUAAGUAUCCCGCCUGGGGAGUACGACCGCAAGGUUAAAACUCAAAGGAAUUGACGGGGGCCCGCACAAGCAGCGGAGCGUGUGGUUCAAUUCGAUGCAACGCGAAAAACCUUACCAGGGCUUGACAUGUUGGUGGUACCAAAUCGAAAGAGGCGGGACUCUCGGGGAGCCAUCACAGAUGCUGCAUGGCUGUCGUCAGCUCGUGCCGUGAGGUGUUGGGUUAAGUCCCGCAACGAGCGCAACCCCUGUCGCCAGUUGGAUUUUUCUGGCGAGACUGCCCGGAGCAACCGGGAGGAAGGCGGGGAUGACGUCAAGUCAGCAUGGCUCUUACGCCUUGGGCUACUCACACGCUACAAUGGACGGUACAGACCGCAGCGACACCGCGAGGUCAAGCUAAUCGGACAAAGCCGUCCUCAGUUCGGAUUGCAGGCUGCAACUCGCCUGCAUGAAGUCGGAGUUGCUAGUAACCGCAGGUCAGCCUUACUGCGGUGAAUACGUUCCCGGGCCUUGGUACACACCGCCCGUCACGUCAUGGAAGCUGGCAACACCUGAAGACCAGUGAGCCCAACC
rnacentral:rRNA from 1 species